rnacentral:rRNA from 1 species
CAGUAGCCGCGGGAAUACGUAGGGUGCAAGCGUUAAUCGGAAUUACUGGGCGUAAAGCGUGCGCAGGCGGUUUGUUAAGACAGAUGUGAAAUCCCCGGGCUCAACCUGGAACUGCAUUUGUGACUGGCAAGCUAGAGUGUGGCAGAGGGGGGUGGAAUUCCGCGUGUAGCAGUGAUAUGCGUAGAUAUGCGGAGGAACACCGAUGGCGAAGGCAGCCCCCUGGGCCAACACUGACGCUCAUGCACGAAAGCGUGGGGAGCAAACAGGAUUAGAUACCCCGGUAGUCCCUGUCUCUUAUACA